rnacentral:lncRNA from 1 species
ACUUUUGCAGCUGCUGAAGCAGAAGCUGCAAUGGCUGAAGCUGAAGAGGCAGCUCGUGAGGCUGAGGCUGCAGAAGCUGAUGCGGAAGCCGCCCAGGCUUUUGCAGAGGCAGCAUUGAAGACACUAAAAGGAAGAAACACCCCCAACAUGGUGAGAUGUUAAUGGCAUUCAUGUUUACUUCCACAACAAUUGCAUAUUUGUUUGCUACAAGUAUGUAGAAAUCCUGGUAAAUUAGAAAUUCAUGCAAAAAGUUUCUUUGAAAAUCUUGAAAUGAAAACAAACAAUCUUCAGUUUGCAUAAGGAUGUGGAUUUCCUAAUUAACCUAUAGAGGGAACUGUGUAUACAUAGUAUACCCAUUGAGUCAUUGACUGGUUGAUUUAACCAACUUCUGUCUGCAGUCACUGACACUUACCCCACCCUCAGAUGACGAAGAAGAGUUAUCUUUUUGUGCAACUUAUGUUGUAUGUAUAUACUAUUUCACUAUGACCAUUAGUUUGAUAAUUGGAGCAACUAGAUUGUGAGUUUUGUAUGUGUUCACUUAUUUACCAUUCAUGCAAUUUGAUGGAUUAAAUUUUCUACUCACAUGAUUUAUUUUGGUCUCGACAGAAUGUACAGAUGAUUCAUGCUUGAUGGGGUUCAGUCUCUCUGAUCACUAGCCGCUUACAGAUUCUCUCGAAUGAAACCUGGUUGAUUGUCUUCCAUAGUUCCAUGGACUUGAUCUAUCUUGUAAAUAUAGCAACAAGAUAUUUAACCUAUAAUAUGAGGGAGCAGGGAGGUGUUCCUCCAGGCGAGUCUGGCACUCGUCGUUGUCAUUUUUUGGGAGUUAGCUGUAUGUUGAUUCAUUCCAUUGUAGAAAUUGAUGCUCGUUUGCUGAACUCUUUUCUGUAUUAGUGGAAGAUGGUGGAGAGAUGUUUGCUGGGAAAGAAAGAAGAAAGCAAUAGAAAAAGAAAAAGAAAAAAGAAAGACCCUGUGGAGAUACCAUAGAUCUAGAUGUUUGGAUCCACUGCUUUUUGGUUCUUUUAAUAGGCGUAAAAUGGAUGGUAGAUAUGGGGGCAAUUCUCUUUUAAAAUUGUUGUAGCAGACUGCAGUAUACCCUUUUUUUGUUGUAUGAUAAUAAUAUUGAUAAUAAGAAUGAUAAUCAUGAAUCCAUGAUGGAGUGAAUAUAACCAC